CCUACGGGUGGCUGCAGUGAGGAAUAUUGGUCAAUGGGCGCAAGCCUGAACCAGCCAUGCCGCGUGAAGGAUGAAGGCCCUAUGGGUUGUAAACUUCUUUUGUACGGGACGAAACCCCUGAACGUGUUCGGGGCUGACGGUACUGUACGAAUAAGCAUCGGCUAACUCCGUGCCAGCAGCCGCGGUAAUACGGAGGAUGCAAGCGUCAUCCGGAUUCAUUGGGUUUAAAGGGUGCAAAGGCGGGAAAAUAGAAAGCCUGCAGCUUAACUGCAGAAUUGCCAUUGAUACUGUUAUUCUUGAGUACAGUUGAAGUGGGUGGAAUGUGUGGUGUAGCGGUGAAAUGCUUAGAUAUCACACAGAACGCCAAUUGCGAAGGCAGCUCACUAAGCUGUUACUGACGCUGAGGCACGAAAGCGUGGGGAUCAAACAGGAUUAGAUACCCUUGUAGUC
rnacentral:rRNA from 1 species